AUGCCUGAAAUGGAGGUUCAGAAUUCUGUUUCAUCACAAAGGUUUUAUGACAAUUCCCAGGAAAUCAGUGAACAAGGAAAUAAAAUUCAAGGUUGCGGCUGCCUUGGAUGUGAGGCUGUCUGCAUCUCAGGAGAUACAACCUGUAAUCCUCUGUGGGCAGAACUCUACAGUUUACGUGGUGGAUCAUUAUGUUUGUCUCAUAACCCCAUCCUCCCACCCCAGCGACCCAGCCCCUCUGCACCCCAGGAUGAGCCCCACAGAAGCUCCUGUUCGAAAGUUGGUUGCUGCAGGAAACCAAGACCAGAGUCAGAAGCAAGAGUUAUGAAAGAUGAAAGCAGUGUGUGCGUCUUUAAGAGAAGACGUCCAUCAGAGGGCUUCCUGGAGCUCGAGAUCCUUCUGGCUGUCGGCUGGAGAGUAACUGGCACAGAGCGAGUCUGGACGUGGGAGUCCUUUGAACCUGAGAUGUGAGGAGGCCCAGCAAGAGUGAGUGGGAGACAAGAGCGUUUUAUGGAAAGGACCGGCUCCACACAUCAGUGGGACAAGCCAGAGGGCCAGCAGGAUUUGGGGAGCCAGUGGCUCUGAGGACAGAAGAGGAGAUGCUCGAGAAAGCCUGAGCGCUCUGUGUGCAGCCAAGUUGGGAGGGCGCUGAGAAGCAUCUGGCAUGGUCGGCAGCCAGGGGGCUUCGGUGGUCUGGUCUACAGCUCAGGGGGCAGAUCUAACCCAAAACUCCAGGCAGGGAUGGAAGAGACAGUCCACGAAGCUGAGGGCACUCUGUAGAGAGGGAUCCAGGGGCCUGGUCAGAUCCAGGCUCCGGAUGCAGUAAGAGAAGCCCAGCAGGGAGACCGGGAAGGCCCAGACAAGGCGGUGGGGAGAACAGGAGAGGACAGGCUGCCAGGCGAAGGAGGAGGGCGUUUCCAGAAGGCGGGAGCGGUCACCUGUGGGCUGUGAGCACGAAGGUUAGAAUGGAGAUGAGAGGAAAGCCUGGGCCCAGGUGACUGGAGAACUGCCCGGGCCUUCCAUGAGAGGCGGGCACAGCAGCUGGGAAGCCUCCUGAGACGGGAAGGGAAGGAGAGGAGGGAGGCAGGGCCAGUGGGACUCAGUCUCCAACAUCAGAUCUGCGGAGGUUAGUUUUCAGAGGGGGAUGCAGCAGGGACACAGCAAGUACAGGUGUGGCAACUAGUGACCAUACGGGACCAAGGGUGCAGACAGAUGUGUGUUAGGCUAAACAGGACUUCAUGAAACCGCCUACCUUUCCUGGGCAACCUGAUCUCUCCUGCGUUCCCCUCCACGGGUGACAGCAGUCCACGUGGGUGCUAGUUCCAUCCUCCUUCUAGACAGGGAUAGGGUUAUUGAUCACCUUCUAUCCCCCAGGCCACUUGCAACAGUCAGUAAAACUGACAAGUGCUGGGGCACCUGGUGGCUCAGUCGUUGGGUGCCUGCCUUCGGCUCAGGUCGUGAUUCCGGGGGUCCAGGAUCGAGUCUGGCGUCGGGCUCCCCGCAGGGAGCAUGCUUCUCUCCCUGCCUAUGUCUCUGCCUCUCUCUGUGUCUCUCAUGGAUAAAUAAAAUUUUUUUUAAAAACCUGACA
rnacentral:lncRNA from 1 species